rnacentral:rRNA from 1 species
UACGGAGGGUGCAAGCGUUAUCCGGAUUCACUGGGUUUAAAGGGUGCGUAGGCGGCUUGGUAAGUCCGUGGUGAAAUCUCUAAGCUUAACUUGGAAACUGCCAUGGAUACUAUUAGUCUUGAAUAUUGUGGAGGUUAGCGGAAUAUGUCAUGUAGCGGUGAAAUGCAUAGAUAUGACAUAGAACACCAAUUGCGAAGGCAGCUGGCUACACAAAUAUUGACGCUGAUGCACGAAAGCGUGGGGAGCAAACAGG